ACUACAAUUUGAUCUCAAUGAUAAAUUCCCAGAAAAUCUCACCACACUCACAUUAUCAGGGUCCGAGUUAACUGAAAACCCAAUGCCAAAAUUACAGAAGCUACCCAAGCUACAAUUCCUUAGGUUGCUGUCCAAAUCUUUCGAGGGCGAGAACAUGGUUUGUUCAUCAGGAGGGUUUGUCCAGCUUCGGGUCUUAAGGAUUUGGAAGCUAGAAAAACUCCAGACAUUGACUGUGGAAGAAGGAGCGAUGCCGAAUAUUGAGGAGUUGGAGAUAAGAUAUUGCAAUAACAUGAAGAAGCUUUCUCGAGUGCCAGAGACCCUUAAUGAAUUGAAGUUGCACAGCAUGCCAGAGGAAUUCACCAAGGACUAUGUGAAAUAUAAAGUCUGCAGGGUUGUCAAUAAAGCUUAACGUAGUUUGCUCCGGCACUGGAUUUCUGGAUUUCUGGAUUUCUGGAUUUCAGGGAAUAAUGAAACAAAAUUCGCGGAGGAAAUGGAAUAGAUUUCAGCAAAAUUUGGCUCCUAUUUGCAGCCAGAUGAGAUUGGAUCGAUUUGAAACAUUGUAGAAAGAAGUUUCAAGGACAUGCCAAAGUGCAAAACUUUUCUUUUUGAUUGCUGGGUUGAGUCUUCAUUUGAAUUUCACUUUGUGUUUCGUUUGGUUUGUGUGUUUGUAGUUAGUUGUCUUUGCCUGAAUAAAUUGUAACAUUCUCCAAACUUGUAUUUCUUCAAUCAAAUUACAGACGAUGUUUCUAA